rnacentral:tRNA from 1 species
UAAGGGAGACCUACCCAUUUAGACACCGAAAGCAAACAGUAAAUAGGUGCUAAGUUGGUCACCCAAGGUCGAGCGAGGGAAUUAGGCUUACAAGAGGUGGCUUUCAAACUACUCUAGGUUUAGGGAACUGGAGAGAUAGAUGGGCUAUUAGCUCAGGUGGUUAGAGCGCACCCCUGAUAAGGGUGGGGUCCCUGGUUCGAGUCCAGGAUGGCCCACCUUUGAAGUAAUUAAUAAUUAGUAAUUCAUAAUUGUUAAUUAUGAUUUGGGGGUUUAGCUCAGUUGGUAGAGCGCCUGCUUUGCAAGCAGGAUGUCGGCAGUUCGAGCCUGCUAACCUCCACUGGCAAAUGGCCAAGGUAGAAAUUCAGCACCUCAGAUAGCAAAGCGCUAGUGAGACUGCUGGUUAGAAGCCAGCAAAAGAACCUUGAAAACUGCAUAGCGAGAAGUCAGGUAGAGGAACUUUCAACGUUUACUUUAGAGGAGAUGUUGAAAGUGAAUCACAGAUACCAAUGUUAAAGGUUGGCUUGUAAAAGAGCCAACUGAGCCAAAGAGUAGU